rnacentral:rRNA from 1 species
AUUGAACGCUGGCGGCAGGCUUAACACAUGCAAGUCGAGCGGGGACUUCGGUCCUAGCGGCGAACGGGUGAGGAAUGCUUGGGAAUCUGCCUGGUAGUGGGGGAUAACGUUUCGAAAGGAACGCUAAUACCGCAUACGUCCUACGGGAGAAAGGGGGGGAUCUUCGGACCUCUCGCUAUCAGAUGAGCCCAAGUCGGAUUAGCUAGUUGGUGAGGUAAAGGCUCACCAAGGCGACGAUCCGUAGCUGGUCUGAGAGGAUGAUCAGCCACACUGGAACUGAGACACGGUCCAGACUCAUACGGGAGGCAGCAGUGGGGAAUAUUGGACAAUGGGCGAAAGCCUGAUCCAGCCAUGCCGCGUGUGUGAAGAAGGCCUUCGGGUUGUAAAGCACUUUAAGCGAGGAGGAAUGGCUCUGGGUUAAUACCCUUGAGCAGUGACGUUACUCGCAGAAUAAGCACCGGCUAACUCUGUGCCAGCCGCCGCCGUAAGAC